CUAGCUUGCUAGGAGGCGUCGAGCGGCGGACGGGUGAGUAAUGCAUAGGAAUCUGCCCGGUAGUGGGGGAUAACCUGGGGAAACCCAGGCUCCUACCGCAUACGCCCUACGGGGGAAAGCAGGGGAUCUUCGGACCUUGCGCUAUCGGAUGAGCCUAUGUCGGAUUAGCUAGUUGGUGAGGUAACGGCUCACCAAGGCUGCGAUCCGUAGCUGGUCUGAGAGGAUGAUCAGCCACAUCGGGACUGAGACACGGCCCGAACUCCUACGGGAGGCAGCAGUGGGGAAUAUUGGACAAUGGGCGAAAGCCUGAUCCAGCCAUGCCGCGUGUGUGAAGAAGGCCUUCGGGUUGUAAAGCACUUUCAGUGAGGAAGAAAGCCUUGAGGUUAAUACCCUCGAGGGAGGACAUCACUCACAGAAGAAGCACCGGCUAACUCCGUGCCAGCAGCCGCGGUAAUACGGAGGGUGCGAGCGUUAAUCGGAAUUACUGGGCGUAAAGCGCGCGUAGGCGGCUUGAUAAGCCGGUUGUGAAAGCCCCGGGCUCAACCUGGGAACGGCAUCCGGAACUGUCAGGCUAGAGUGCAGGAGAGGAAGGUAGAAUUCCCGGUGUAGCGGUGAAAUGCGUAGAGAUCGGGAGGAAUACCAGUGGCGAAGGCGGCCUUCUGGACUGACACUGACGCUGAGGUGCGAAAGCGUGGGUAGCAAACAGGAUUAGAUACCCUGGUAGUCCACGCCGUAAACGAUGUCGACUAGCCGUUGGGCUCCUUGAGAGCUUUGUGGCGCAGUUAACGCGAUAAGUCGACCGCCUGGGGA
rnacentral:rRNA from 1 species